rnacentral:rRNA from 1 species
GAGUUUGAUCCUGGCUCAGGACGAACGCUGGCGGCGUGCCUAACACAUGCAAGUCGAGCGGAGACAUACGACGGAGAAGAAGUUUUCGGAUGGAUUCAAAGAUGUAUGUUUUAGCGGCGGACGGGUGAGUAACGCGUGAGCAACCUGUCCUUCACAGGGGGAUAACACAGCGAAAGUUGUACUAAUACCGCAUGAGACCACGGAGCCACAUGGCUCAGGGGUCAAAGGAGCAAUCCGGUGAAGGGUGGGCUCGCGUCCGAUUAGAUAGUAGGUGAGGUAACGGCCCACCUAGUCGACGAUCGGUAGCCGACCUGAGAGGGUGAUCGGCCACAUUGGGACUGAGACACGGCCCAAACUCCUACGGGAGGCAGCAGUGGGGAAUAUUGGGCAAUGGGGGGAACCCUGACCCAGCAACGCCGCGUGAGGGAAGAAGGUUUUCGGAUCGUAAACCUCUGUCCUUGGUGAAGAGGAAGAGACGGUAGCCAAGGAGGAAGCCCCGGCUAACUACGUGCCAGCAGCCGCGGUAAUACGUAGGGGGCGAGCGUUGUCCGGAAUGAUUGGGCGUAAAGGGCGCGUAGGCGGCCCUAUAAGUCUGAAGUGAAAGUCCUGGCUUCAAGUUGGGAAUUGCUUUGGAUACUGUAGGGCUUGAGUGCAGGAGAGGUAAGUGGAAUUCCCAGUGUAGCGGUGAAAUGCGUAGAGAUUGGGAGGAACACCAGUGGCGAAGGCGACUUACUGGACUGUAACUGACGCUGAGGCGCGAAAGUGUGGGGAGCAAACAGGAUUAGAUACCCUGGUAGUCCACACUGUAAACGAUGAAUGCUAGGUGUAGGGGGUAUCGACCCCUUCUGUGCCGCAGUUAACACAAUAAGCAUUCCGCCUGGGGAGUACGGCCGCAAGGUUGAAACUCAAAGGAAUUGACGGGGGCCCGCACAAGCAGCGGAGCAUGUGGUUUAAUUCAACGCAACGCGAAGAACCUUACCAGGUCUUGACAUCCAGUAAAAGCCAUAGAGAUAUGGUGUGAGCUUGCUCAUACUGAGACAGGUGGUGCUUGGUUGUCGUCAGCUCGUGUCGUGAGAUGUUCCACGC